CCCGGACGGCAGCAGCGGCAAGUGGCGCAUCCAGGCGGUGUCCGUGGCCGAGCAGAGCUUCCAGUCGCGGCU
rnacentral:SRP_RNA from 1 species